CUUCUUCUAUCUGUUGCGGGCAAAUGAAGUGGAUGUGGGUAUCCACGCCGCCGGCCGUGACGAUCAUGCCUUCGCCGGCGAUGAUUUCAGUGGCGCCGCCAAUUGCCAUCGUGACAUCCGGCUGGAUGUCCGGAUUACCGGCCUUGCCGAUGCCGGCAAUCUUGCCGCCCUUGAGGCCGAUAUCGGCUUUAACGAUACCCCAAUGUUCGACGAUGACGGCAUUCGUGAUGACGGUAUCCAUCACAUCCUUGUAAUUGCGUUGCGACUGGCCCAUGCCGUCGCGAAU
rnacentral:sRNA from 1 species